rnacentral:rRNA from 1 species
GAUGAACGCUGGCGGCGUGCCUAAUACAUGCAAGUCGAGCGAAUGGAUUAAGAGCUUGCUCUUAUGAAGUUAGCGGCGGACGGGUGAGUAACACGUGGGUAACCUGCCCAUAAGACUGGGAUAACUCAGGGAAACCGGGGCUAAUACCGGAUAACAUUUUGAACCGCAUGGUUCGAAAUUGAAAGGCGGCUUCGGCCGUCACUUAUGGAUGUAACCGCGGCGCAUUAGCUAGUUGGUGAGGUAACGGCUAAACAAGGCAACGAUGCGUAGCCGACCUGAGAGGGUGAUCGGCCACACUGGGACUGAGACACGGCCCAGACUCCUACGGGAGGCAGCAGUAGGGAAUCUUCCGCAAUGGACGAAAGUCUGACGGAGCAACGCCGCGUGAGUGAUGAAGGCUUUCGGGUCGUAAAACUCUGUUGUUAGGGAAGAACAAGUGCUAGUUGAAUAAGCUGGCACCUUGACGGUACCUAACCAGAAAGCCACGGCUAACUACGUGCCAGCCGCCGCAGUAA